GAUGAACGCUGGCGGCGUGCUUAACACAUGCAAGUCGAACGGUGAACGAGGGAGCUUGCUCCCUCCGGAUCAGUGGCGAACGGGUGAGUAACACGUGAGCAAUCUGCCCUGGACUCUGGGAUAAGCGUUGGAAACGACGUCUAAUACCGGAUACGAGGCGUGGGGGCAUCCCCAACGCCUGGAAAGAACUUCGGUCCAGGAUGAGCUCGCGGCCUAUCAGGUAGUUGGUGAGGUAACGGCUCACCAAGCCUACGACGGGUAGCCGGCCUGGGAGGGUGACCGGCAACACUGGGACUGAGACACGGCCCAGACUCCUACGGGAGGCAGCAGUGGGGAAUAUUGCACAAUGGGCGCAAGCCUGAUGCAGCAACGCCGCGUGAGGGACGACGGCCUUCGGGUUGUAAACCUCUUUUUGUAGGGAAGAAGCGAAAGUGACGGUACCUGCAGAAAAAGCACCGGCUAACUACGUGCCAGCCGCCGCCGUAACAC
rnacentral:rRNA from 1 species